UAGCUCACGGGGAAGUACAGCGAAUUGAGCCUUUUCAGUCUCCGAGCUACAAUAGCCUUCAUAAACAUCACCAAGUCCUCCAUCUGAAAUAGACCAGCUUUGCCCAAUCCUGUCCUCUCCCCUAACCCCCCUUCAUGUCUGCCAUUUUCAGUUCUGCGGCCGACCUGCCCGCAAACACAUGCAUGCACGCACAUGCCCGGAAUCUUCACUUCACAGGCUCUCCCAUGCAUGUGAUGCCAAGAGAAAGCGGUCGCACAACAGCGGACUGUGUCUUAUUCUGGAAUUACUCUAAAUGCAAAUAGAUAAUAUCACACCUGUCUCUCUUUGCCACUGAUUUAACCCAAAAAUGGAGACAGCUGGCGGUGAAACAGUUAAGGCUCAGAUCCGGAAUGGACACGGCUCAGAACGCUGCUGUACCCUUUCAAUGAGUGGUAGGUAAAUUUAAGACAGAGAUAUAAGAAUAAUCAAUGAUUAUAUGACUGUAUGAAUAUAUGAAUAAAUAAAGUGUAAUAUUCGCAUCUGCCUGGUAACUAAACAUUAUGUUGAUAUUUAAUAUUGAUUUAUUAUAUAGCCCAACAUGUGAUUUAAUCCAGAGUGACUAAAGCCUGAAAGUGCAUGAGCAGAUUUUAAAUGACUGUAUUUUGGGUUCAGCACAAGGGCUCAGUGUUUGCAGGGUCACUUCUUGCCUGUGGCUUCUGUCUUUUCCCUGUGUUCAUGUGUGAUUCCUCUCAGUCCAACGAGACGCAGGUAGGUACAUCUGUAAAGUAUCCGGAGUGAGUGCAUGGCCUGCGAUGGACAGUCAGCCCGUCUGGGCCACAUGCCUCAUGAUCCUGCUCUGGAUAAUGGUUUUGGAGAACAGAUUUAUCAUACCACCUGAGUAAAUAACCUGCUCAUUUUAUAAUAUCUGCAGCUUUUGAAUUCUACAGUUCUCCGGGCAAGACUGCGAAGUAAAUAUUCAUUUUGUUGCAUGUAAUCUUUUCACCAGACUCAGUAAUUUGUUAUAAUGAAACCUGGAGCCAUAUUGAAUUUCAGAGUCGUCCUGCAUGGUUAUGCCAACCUUUCACUUUAUGUGGAUGCAUGUGUGUAUAUACUCUGUCCUGGGGAGCUGAGACGAUGGAUGGAUUGGGUCCUUCAGCCCAGUGCAAAGGGGAAGGUUUCUGCUGAU